CGUGUAGGCGGUUUGUCAAGUCGGGUGUGAAAGCCUGGGGCUCAGCCCCAGAAGUGCAUCCGAAACUAGCGAGCUAGAGCGCGAUAGAGGAGGGUGGAAUUCCUGGUGUAGCGGUGAAAUGCGUAGAUAUCAGGAGGAACACCGGCGGCGAAGGCGGCCCUCUGGAUCGUUGCUGACGCUGAGACGCGAAAGCGUGGGGAGCAAACAGGAUUAGAUACCCUGGUAGUCCACGCCUUAAACGAUGGGUACUAGGUGUUCGGGGUGUUGACCCCCUGAGUGCCGCAGUUAACGCAUUAAGUACCCCGCCUGGGGACUACAGCCGCAAGGUUAAA
rnacentral:rRNA from 1 species